rfam:Rhodococcus sp. MTM3W5.2, complete genome.
CUUGACCGAACCGAGCCACAAAGGCCUGCCCUCGCGGUCCUGCCCGUAGGCGGCCAGCAGCGCCUGUGCCUC